GAUGAACGCUGACAGAAUGCUUAACACAUCAGCAAUUGAUUGGUGGCGGACGGGCGAGUAACGCGUAAAGAACUUACCUAACAGUUAGGGACAACAUUUGGAAACGAAUGCUAAUACCUAAUACUGUGAGAGGGGUUUGGGUCCCAUUAGCUAGUUGGAGAGGUAACGUCUCACCAAGGCGAUGAUGGGUAGCAGGCCUGGAAGGGUGAUCGGCCACAAGGGGACUGGGAGACAGCCAUUAGGCAUACGGGAAGCAGGAGUGGAGAAUAUUUGACAAUGGACCAAAGUCUGAUCCAGCAAUUCGGUGGGCAAGAUGAAGUUUUCGGAAUGUAAAGGGCUUGAAGUUGAAAAGCGGUACCAACAGAAGAAGUGACGGCUAAAUACGUGCCAGCAGCCGCGGUAAUUC
rnacentral:rRNA from 1 species